UAGGGAAUCUUCCGCAAUGGACGAAAGUCUGACGGAGCAACGCCGCGUGAGUGAAGAAGGAUUUCGGUUCGUAAAACUCUGUUGUUAGGGAAGAAAAAAUGUAUAGUAACUAUAUACAAAAGAGACGGUACCUAACCAGAAAGCCACGGCUAACUACGUGCCAGCAGCCGCGGUAAUACGUAGGUGGCAAGCGUUGUCCGGAAUUAUUGGGCGUAAAGCGCGCGCAGGUGGUUUAGAAAGUCUGAUGUGAAAGCCCACGGCUCAACCGUGGAGGGUCAUUGGAAACUAAUAAACUUGAGUGCAGGAGAGAAAAGUGGAAUUCCUAGUGUAGCGGUGAAAUGCAUAGAGAUUAGGAGGAACACCGGUGGCGAAAGCGGCUUUUUGGCCUGCAACUGACACUGAGGCGCGAAAGCGUGGGGAGCAAACAGG
rnacentral:rRNA from 1 species